GGAGCGGGAGGGGGGCCGCCGAGACGCACUGACGCCAGGAUGCCGGCGCCAGGUUUAAAACGCCGACACUGGGAGCAGGAAAGGGGGGGAAGCGCACCGGGACGGAGGCGAGCGGACGGCCCGCCAAGGAGUCAGCGGACCCACUCCCGGCAGUUCCCCGGAGCAAACCCCGAGCGGGGACGGGAUCUUGGCUGGCCUAGAGGAAUACAAAUUUAACCCCUGCAGGCCCGCAUAUGACUGUUUAUGUGACAAGGUGGAAGACAGCCAGGUAGCAGUUGCCCUUUAUGAUGAUCAGGAAAGAAUGGCUUGUGCCAUUGGUAGAUAUGUGUCCGGUAAGCUGAUAAGUGGCAAGUGUUAAG